rnacentral:lncRNA from 1 species
AAUACCAUUGGUGGACUUUUUUCUGUUUUCUAUUUAAUGAGUAGUGUAGAUAUAAAUACCCAUUGGUGGACUUUUUUCUGUUUUCUUUGGUACAGUUGUUCUCUCUUUGAAACAUUCCCAAUAUUAUUUCAUGUAGCAGAAUGAAAUAUACAAAAGUUUUGAAUGGCAAAACAUAAUUUACAACUUUUAGAUUCAUGUUGAUAUACAUUUAGGAGAUGAAACCCCUUUGACAUUAACAGUGUAUUUCAUUAUAUAUGGAAACUGUCCAGGGGAAGUAAUUUACAGUCUCAAAAUCACUGAAUUAUAUUGUUUAACAAAUUAAGAAAUAAUCUGUUGUGUAUCAUAUAUUAUCAUACUCAUUUUCAUUACAUUUGUAUUUAAAUUUGUUGAACAAAUGUGAGAGUUGCAUGUUUGUUAUUCUUUUUUAUUGUCAAAGGUAUUGAUUAAAU